CAUUUUGCUAGAUCAAGCUAGUUUCAGAUAAAUAAUAGAGCAUCAAUGAAAGCUAACGGCAUAAGCAAAAAUAACAUAAAAGGCAGACACGUCGUACCAGAGGUGCACGGACUUAGUUAAUCAUUUUGCGAAUAAAAGGCCGAUCUAAAUACUUUAACGGUUUCUAUGCUCUCAACACUUAAAUGAAGAGCAACAUAAAUGGGAAGAAAAUGGAAAUAAGAGAAAAGGCAAAGA